AUGAGAAUAAAGUCAUAAUAUCAGAGGUCGUACCCACUCAUCGAAUAAUGUAGAACUUGGAACAUUUCGUGCAGUUCUCCUUUCAUUUGGGGGUUAGGCACAAAGGCCAAACACUGAGUCUGUCCUCCCAACAACACACUGUCAUUAGUCUGAGGACUCUGGAGCGAGUUUGCACACAUUUGGGUUUGUUGUAAGAACCGAACUGAUUUGUAGUAAAUUUCCUCUUUUGUGGAGG